CAAUAGCGUAUAUUUAAGUUGUUGCAGUUAAAAAGCUCGUAGUCGGAUUUGGCUGAGAACGAUCGGUCCGCCGUUAGGUGUGCACUGAUUGGUCUCAGCUUCCUGGUGAGGAGGUGUGCUUCACGGCCACUUAGUCACCGUGGUUACUUUGAAAAAAUUAGAGUGUUCAAAGCGGGCUUACGCUUGAAUAUAUUAGCAUGGAAUAACACCAUAGGACUCCUGUCCUAUUUCGUUGGUCUCGGGACGGGAGUAAUGAUUAAGAGGAACAGUUGGGGGCAUUCGUAUUUCAUUGUCAGAGGUGAAAUUCUUGGAUUUAUGAAAGACGAACUUCUGCGAAAGCAUUUGCCAAGGAUGUUUUCAUUGA
rnacentral:rRNA from 1 species